CCUACGGGAGGCAGCAGUGGGGAAUAUUGGUCAAUGGACGCAAGUCUGAAGCAGCCAUGCCGCGUGCAGGAUGACGGCUCUAUGAGUUGUAAACUGCUUUUGUACGGGGGUAAACCCCGAUACGUGUAUCGGGUUGAAAGUAUCUUCCGCAUAAGGAUCGGCUAACUCCGUGCCAGCAGCCGCGGUAAUACGGAGGGUCCGAGCGUUAUCCGGAUUUAUUGGGGUUAAGGGGUGGGUAGGCGGUUUGAUAAGUUAGAGGUGAAAUGUCGGGGCUCAACCCCGAAACUGCCUCUAAUACUGUUGGACUUGAGAAUAGUAGCGGGGGGUGGAAUGUAUGGUGUAGCGGUGAAAUGCGUAGAGAUC
rnacentral:rRNA from 1 species